AAUAUUUGAAUCGCAUCUCAUAUCGAGGUCCUCCAAAUUGCUCAAGCCAUCUAAUUCUGAGGAGAAUCAAAAAUUGAAAAGUAAAUACUUUAUUAAUAUAUGUAGACGUCAUUGAAUAAGGAGAAAGAGGAUGAUAUUCAACAGUUUUGUAUAAGAAAUAUUAUUUUACAAUAAUUAAAAAUAUAAUAUUAAAAAAAAACUAAAAAUUAAAUGUCUAAAAUCACAUUCAACAUAUGUGCCAUUAGAAACCAGUAUUUAUAUAAAUUAAUAUUAAGAAUUAAGAUACGUAAAAAAAAUAGUAACUUACUGAUUUGGGAAUGAGAGUCAAUUAAAUUAACUCCUCUCAAGAAAAGAGUCUUCAAUGAUGAGAAUAAAUCUAAUGAUUGUAGUUGAAGAUUGCAACCUGAGCCUAUCAAAUAGUAUAUUUAUAUUUACUUUAUUUCUUUGGAAUAUAUCAAAUUAAUCAAACUAACAAGUAAUUAGUACAUUUAAAUUAAAUUUGGAAUUAGUACCAAUAUUUGAAUCGCAGCUCAUAUGGAGGUCCUCCAAAUUGCUCAAGCCAUCUAAUUCUGAGGAGAAUCAAAAAUUGAAAAGUAAAUACUUUAUUAAUAUAUGUAGACGUCAUUGAAUAAGGAGAAAGAGGAUGAUAUUCAACAGUUUUGUAUAAGAAAUAUUAUUUUACAAUAAUUAAAAAUAUAAUAUUAAAAAAAUAACUAAAAAUUAAAUGUCUAAAAUCACAUUCAACAUAUGUGCCGUUAGAAACCAGUAUUUAUGUAAAUUAAUAUUAAGAAUUAAGAUACGUAAAAAAAAUAGUAACUUACUGAUUUGAGAAUGAGAAUCAAUUAAAUUAACUCCGUCCAAGGAAAGAGUCUUCAAUGAUGAGAAUAAAUCCAAUGAUUGUAGUUGAAGAUUGCAACCUGAGCCUAUCAAAUAGUAUACUUAUAUUUACUUUAUUUCUUUGGAAUAUAUCAAAUUAAUCAAACUAACAAGUAAUUAGUACAUUUAAAUUAAAUUUGGAAUUAGCCACAAUUUUAUUUUAGUAGUACCAAUUGAAUCGCAGCUCAUAUCGAGGUCCUCCAAAUUGCUCAAGCCAUCUAAUUAUGAGGAGAAUCAAAAAUUGAAAAGUAAAUACUUUAUUAAUAUAUGUAGACGUCAUUGAAUAAGGAGAAAGAGGAUGAUAAUUUUACCUUUAAUAUCUAUUGUUCCUUCCAAAUUGGAGCCUCCUAAAGACAAAGUCUUUAGAUUUGAGAGUGUUCCGAGAGAUGACAAUAUGGUAUUGUUGAAGAGAUUGCCAUACAAA
rnacentral:lncRNA from 1 species